AUGAACGCUAGCUACAGGCUUAACACAUGCAAGUCGAGGGGCAUCAGUUUGGUUUGCUUGCAAACCAAAGCUGGCGACCGGCGCACGGGUGAGUAACACGUAUCCAACCUGCCUCAUACUCGGGGAUAGCCUUUCGAAAGAAAGAUUAAUAUCCGAUAGCAUAUAUUUCCCGCAUGGGUUUUAUAUUAAAGAAAUUCGGUAUGAGAUGGGGAUGCGUUCCAUUAGUUUGUUGGGGGGGUAACGGCCCACCAAGACUACGAUGGAUAGGGGUUCUGAGAGGAAGGUCCCCCACAUUGGAACUGAGACACGGUCCAAACUCCUACGGGAGGCAGCAGUGAGGAAUAUUGGUCAAUGGACGCGAGUCUGAACCAGCCAAGUAGCGUGAAGGAUGACUGCCCUAUGGGUUGUAAACUUCUUUUAUAUGGGAAUAAAGUUGUCCACGUGUGGAUUUUUGUAUGUACCAUAUGAAUAAGGAUCGGCUAACUCCGUGCCAGCAGCCGCGGUAAUACGGAGGAUCCGAGCGUUAUCCGGAUUUAUUGGGUUUAAAGGGAGCGUAGGCGGAUUGUUAAGUCAGUUGUGAAAGUUUGCGGCUCAACCGUAAAAUUGCAGUUGAUACUGGCAGUCUUGAGUGCAGUAGAGGUGGGCGGAAUUCGUGGUGUAGCGGUGAAAUGCUUAGAUAUCACGAAGAACACCGAUCGCGAAGGCAUUGUGCCGGGGCAUAACUGACGCUGAGGCUCGAAAGUGCGGGUAUCAAACAGGAUUAGAUACCCUGGUAGUCCACACUGUAAACGAUGAUAGCUAGGUGUGGGGGGUCUGACCCCUUCCGUGCCGGAGUUAACGCAAUAAGCUAUCCACCUGGGGAGUACGACCGCAAGGUUGAAACUCAAAGGAAUUGACGGGGGCCCGCACAAGCGGAGGAACAUGUGGUUUAAUUCGAUGAUACGCGAGGAACCUUACCCGGGCUUAAAUUGCAAAUGAAUUAUGGGGAAACCCAUACGCCGCAAGGCAUUUGUGAAGGUGCUGCAUGGUUGUCGUCAGCUCGUGCCGUGAGGUGUCGGCUUAAGUGCCAUAACGAGCGCAACCCUUAUCUUCAGUUACUAACAGGUCAUGCUGAGGACUCUGGAGAGACUGCCGUCGUAAGAUGUGAGGAAGGUGGGGAUGACGUCAAAUCAGCACGGCCCUUACGUCCGGGGCUACACACGUGUUACAAUGGGGGGUACAGAAGGCCGCUACCUGGUGACAGGAUGCCAAUCCCAAAAACCUCUCUCAGUUCGGAUCGAAGUCUGCAACCCGACUUCGUGAAGCUGGAUUCGCUAGUAAUCGCGCAUCAGCCAUGGCGCGGUGAAUACGUUCCCGGGCCUUGUACACACCGCCCGUCAAGCCAUGAAAGCCGGGGGUACCUGAAGUACGUAACCGCAAGGAGCGUCCUAGGGUAAAACUGGUAAUUGGGGCU
rnacentral:rRNA from 1 species